CCUGUGUGAUGGUAUAGUUGUUUUGGUUCAGCUAUUCCACAGCUUGCUUAAUUAAUAUUGUUUCUUGAGAUUGCUGUUUAUGUUUAGUUCGUCGAUCAUGGUUCAGACUGAAGAUCACUGCUAUUUCUCUAGGAAGAGCUCAUCAGUGUUUUUGUUUUUCUGCUUCACUACAUCUUAGCAGCUCUAGGGCACUCUCUAAGAUGGAGAUCUCUUCAAUCGGGGAUAGAUUAUUUGCGUUUCGAUCCUUCUUUAAGAGAGCAAUCCUUUAUUGCACGGACCAGGUGGAUCUGAGUACAGAAAUGGAUAAUAUCUACACAAUUGGGACUCCAACAUGGUUUCUCGGGGUCAUUUGUCGGAGCAAUUCGUGGCGGAGUGCAGGGACGCGUGGCGGCCGGGCCGUGAACGGUGGUGGACAUGGAAGAGGCUGCCAUCCCAGAUCAAGAAUAUUUUCCUAUGCCA
rnacentral:lncRNA from 1 species